CUUUUCUUGACCUUGUAAGA
rnacentral:snRNA from 1 species